UUGAAAUGGAUCCAGAAAGCCAGCUUCUUCCAAGAGCACCUGGAUCUAGUCUGUGACCACUCGCUCCAGAAGUUAGAAAAACCAAGACUGGGAAGAUUUUAACACAGGUGAGCCUUAGAAGUGAGAAGGGGAGGGGGAUCCGGGGGGAAAGAAGGCUGUGCAUGUGAUAAAGAGCAAAGCAGAGGGGGAAGAAGGCAACAUAGUUCCUUCUAAUUUCAUGUUAGCUUGUUGACAAAAAUACUUUGCAGCCAUUUUGUGAUAGCGUCUUGGGGACUAUAGAGAACCUCCUUCACUAAUGGGCAGAACUUCAUUUUAUUUAUAAUGUGGCUUCCAAGGAGUAGAAUAACAAACCCUCUUGAGCAGCUGGCUUAAAAGUGGUGGCAUUUGGCAUGGGAAGCUAGGAAGAGGCAUUAUUAUUAUUAUUAUUAUUAUUAUUAUUAUUAUUAUUAUUAUUUCCCACCCUUUUCCCUGAUGGGAAUCAAGGCAACUGACAAGCAUUCCAGGAGCCACUUCAGAUUGGUGAAGUUAGAAAAGAAUGAAGGCACGGAAAGAGAAAUAACUACUGAACCAGAAAAGGUUUAGAAGCCACUAGGAUCAAGAACUGGUUCUGGGGGAAGCAUAAAAGGGGGAAAUAACUGAGAAAGCCACAAGGAGCAGCAGCAAAAAGCAACCAACCAAGGGUGAGAGUAUUAUACCUAAUUGUAGUUACUGGGCAACUGCAGAAGAGGGUCGCCAGAAUAUUGCUGAGUUUUUGUUCCUUCAGAUGUGUAUAAAUCCAGAAGGUUCCAAACAUGCCAGCAUUUUGGAUCCUCGCUAGUAAUUCUGUUCCUAAGGUAAUGCAUUUAGAAUGCCCAUUUAAAAACCUGAUGCAUCAAACUACUUCCUUUGUCUGUAACAGUUGCCUUUCUAAUUUCAGUGUGAAUAAGCAAAUAAGGCAUUUUGAGGGUGGAUCCACUCUUGGCAAUGGUAGAGGUGGCAUUGGAGUGAGUAGAGGUUUUCACCAUUUUGUCGGCCAUUUGUGAGCAAAAAAAGUCCAGCAAACGUUUAAGCACAUACAUAUUCAUAAUUAGGAAAGAUGAGCCGUGACCAUUUUUUCCUGUACAUAAAGGGCAGAAAAUAUUGUCUGCUAAUGGUGAGGCUGAAAUGACUGAGAAAAUAUUUGAAAUCUUAUGAAUCCUGACGCUCUGGCCAUUUUGACUCGUACAUAAGGGGGUGGCUGAUUGUUCCACUAAUGACCAGAGAGUGGGCCAACACAAAAUAAUAAUAACCCACAUUUGUGAAACAUUUUGGAAUAGAGGUCUGUACCCCUAUCUCCUGUAGAUAAAGGAGGCAUGUAGCUCCCAAUUUUCUUUGCCUGGCGUACAUGUAUGUCUCUUUAAUGCAGGAAACAUGAUCCAUUAAUGCUGAGACUUUAUUAAAAAAAUAAUUUGACCAAAAUUGUAUUAUUGGCUUUUUGGUCAAAACCUGCAUGAAAGGAUUGAUAGUUGCUGGGUUUCCGACAAAUACUAAAAUUUGGAUCCUCGCCAGUACUUCUGUUCCUAAGGUAAUAUAUUUAAAAACCUGGUGUAGCAAACUGCUUCCUUUGCCUGUAAUCUCUUGUUACCUUCAACUGCAAUUGUAGCUUCUAUAAGAAAACUUUUGAAUUAUCAGAGGGGCAAUAGGCACUAAUAACUAAAAAGGGAUCUCUAAAUGCUCUAUUGUAAUUAUAGCAGCAAUACAGUUGUGUGUCUUCUGGCUGAAGGUCAACUAGGUGAGUAUCUUGUGCUUGGCUGAGGAGAAAAUCUCUGUUGUGUUCUGCCUGCAACUCUUUGUAUAAAGAUUCUUUCAGGUUGCAGUGAGGGGAACCAUUCAAGCACCCUGAGCCUGUUGGAGAAAAGGCAGGCUCUAAAUGGAAUAAUACAUCCAAUAUGCAAACUAAAUAUUACAAAGAGUUUGUAUUGAGCAAUGUUGGUUAUUCAAUCACUUUUUCAGAAGAGCCGCGAACUCAAAAGCCUAAUGCAGUCGCUCUCCGUGCUUCUACCUGAAGGGACUUCUCUUGUCGGGACACUGCUGCAAGGGAGGCCCUUUCCUGUGCCAUCACCACACAAUAAGGUACAUCUUUUGGUGGGACAGCCAUCCUUGUUUUGUUCCAGCUCUUUUUUUUUACAGACCUCACAGAGCUACCUACGCCUGAAGCAGAUCUGCUCCAUUGACAAGUAAGAGGCAGCGUCAGAGCUCUUGAUACAUCAAGUGAACAUCUGCAGUGCAGGAUUGAGCGACACCUGCGUCUUGAGUGUGCUACUUUAGGUAACCUGCUGUUUUUGCUCUUUUGUGUCUGGAGGGGAGGGCUGCUGAAGACCCUAGUCUAUUCCAGGUGCAUCUCAGUGACACAAGAAAUAGAAUUUUGCAAGCCUUCGGGAACCUUAAUGGCAAGUGUACUUCGCACUCCACAAUUCAGUGAUCUUUUUCAGUACAAUCCUUUUGUGCUGGCCUCUCAAUUUCCCCUCGCUUGAUCUCUUCACAGUUCUGUCCAAGAGCCCACCACACUCAGGUGAAGCCAGCUCUUCCUGCAGAAGUCAGACCAGCAGAAGGAACUGCCAGGCCCAUGAAUUCACACUUCAGAGGGACAAACGAAAAGGCGAGCAUAAAGGCAGAGUUUUAAGACUGGAACCAGUCUCUCUCUUCUGCCCUGCAAAUUGAUGGCAGUCAAAAUGGCACUCUGUGACUUUAACACAUCUAGGUGAAUAUCCGUUGCUCGGUUGUGUUCUGUCUGCAACUUUAUAACUCUUAAGGGUUUUCUUUUUCCUGAGAGAACAUUCUGUAUUCAGAGUGUUCUCUCAGGUUUUGCUUUUCACCUUGUUGCAUUGCAAAAAGGAAGAAAGAAAAAAAGCAAAAGGCGCUGGUGGUUGGCACUCCUGGUUUCUAGGACGGGGUUCAAAUCCCUGCGGUGUCCUUGCUUACUUCCAAUGCAACCUCUUUCUCUAUCUCUCUAUCUCUCCCCCCUAAGAACUAAAUCAAGUAAGGUGCUCCUCUGAUGCAUCACUGGUGUGUGUCUAAGAUAAGAUGGAUUACAUGGAUGCUUCCCAUCCUAGCACUCCCAGCCAUAGGGGGAAAAUACUUCUUUUUUAUAUAUAAAAAAGACUGCCUCUUAAUUUUGCAUUGUUUGUUUAGGAAGUAACCUAAAUAUACAAACAAAUGGAUCCUAUUUAGAUUAUGCAGAAUGUGGAAAAAGCUGGGAUGAAAGAGAAAUGGCAGCACGUUCACUCAUUAGCAGAAGAACAACAGCAACUAUCAGGUGCUCAGGUGUCCUAUUUUACAGAAGACACUUGUCGAUUUUCAGAGCUAUCAGAGGCUUAGGAUGAGGACAGGUGGCAGUUCUCUGUACAAAGGUGUCCUAUUUGAAUGGCCGUGCAUUCCAGGUCUGGCUGAAAGAUACAGAAGGAAGAGCAGGGGCACUGAAGUUGCCCAUCAACAGAUAGCACCUUGGCAGCAGACUAAGCACAAACACACAGGCCAGUCUUCCCCACUACAGUGAGAUGUAUAGUAUUCCUAUGUAGAAUUAUAGAGUGACAUAACACAUCAGUCAUACUCAAGGUAAUAUCGUAUACCCAACAAAGUUGUACUUGGAAUCACUGAAAUCAAUGGGUCUAGUGACUAUGAGUUAGUAGGAUAUAACCUACUAAUAUUUUAAAAUGUGCAUCUACACACAGCACAUGAAAAUUGGUGUCCAUUCAUUUGACCAAGUGUCAAUGGCUACUCUAAGCAAAGACAUGUCCAAUUUCUGCAACUGGGAGUAUCUAGGGAUGCAAUACUGCAUGUUCAGUCAAGCCCUUUUGUUUCCUCCUGAUCCUGAGGAUGUUCCGUCUAACUUGGGGAUUUUACUCAAUCCCCUUGUGGGUUUUUGAGAUUUCCUACAACACCUAGCCUAUCUUCUCAGCCAUAAGGAUCUGACAAGGGGUGGGGCCUUUCAGAUAUUCUUGGAUGGCAACUCCCUACAUGCCUGAUCAUUGGCCAUGCUGGCUGAGUUGAUGGGAGUUGUAGUCCAAAGCAGCCAGAAAAGGCACCUGUUCUUCACCAUUGUGUAAUCUGAAGCCAACUUACUUGGGAGUAAGCCCCAGUGAAUUCAAUAGGACAUACUUCUCUGGACACAGUUAGGAUUGUGCUGCAUUUUGCUUAUUCAGAGAAGCAUUUUUAAGGAAGAAGAGGAGGAGGAGGAAGCGGGAGCAGCAGCAGCUGGAAUUCUCAGGCUGCACAAUACUAGAAGCCUAAAUUUGCACAGAAUAAUUAGGGGUCAAAAUAAGUCAUCAGCUGAACAGUAAAAACAAAUGUGGCUCCAUUUUACAUGGCGCAAAGUGUUUUUAUGUACCAGGUCUGUGCCCUUUCCUUUAGAAGAAGCCUGUAGCAGAUCUGAUUACAGAAUAUGCAACAAGCAAAUCUGGAAUUGAGCCAGGUUUAUGUUAUAAAAUACUCUGUCUUAGGUGAAAGCUCAGCUCUGGGCUCUCAAUCCAACUCUUGGUAAAUAAAUAUCACCCUAGGGCUAUCGUGCCAUCUAGUGGCAGAAGAGUAUUGCAAGACUGCCAGCUUAUUUUAAUGCGAAGGAGCGGCACAGACAUCUGUGGCCCCAGGGCUGCUUUGAGUAUUCAUUAAUAUUUCUAAACCAUUAUAUUUAUUGCACCCAGGGAGGAUGGCGAUAUGUCACAACAUCCCCAGCAUUCUUAGUUAUUCCAAUUAAAUGCUGUUAAAAAUCAAUCCUACCAGAGAGGCAGUUCCUCGUAGCUUAGCCUUCCCCAACCUGGUGCCUUGGCUGGGGCAGAUGGAGCUGUAGUUGCAACCCAUUUUCUAUGGCAGCCCCUGGACUGUGGGACUCCCUUCCCACAGAGGUGCAUCUUGCACCUUCACCAGGAACCUUCUGCUAAAUGCUGAAGACACACCUCUUCCACCUGGCCUUUGACACCUGACAUUUGCAUUUUCAGGACUCACCCUAUUCCUGUGACUGUAAUAUGUUUUAGCAUUUUUUAAUAUUGAUUUUUAAAUUGUUGUAACCAGCCAUGGCAUCUGCUGGUGAAGGACAGGUAAAACAACAAACAAACAAACAAUCACGGCAGUACUGCAAUUCGUGCUCCUCUCUUGUAGCACACAGUGAGACUGAAGCAUAGGAUUGCACUCUAGGAAACAAAACACAGUUUGCCCCCAAAAUUCUCAGAGAUACAAUUUGUGUUUUUAAAGUGAGGGUGUAUUUUGGCCAAUUAUACUAUUGCUGCUCUGACAUAUUCCUUGUUUUAGUUUGAUUUUAGUUUUGAUCUCAUGCUAUUUAAAAUACCGAUU